GCCAAGGCGGCUACCCGGUCGGUCACGUGCGGCCGGGUCCGGUUUGGCGCCAAGGCGGCUACCCGGUCGGUCACGUGCGGCCGGGUCCGGUUUGUCUCGGGCCUCCGAAGCGGACACGGUUUAUGCUGUAUGUCCCACUCAUUUCUGUGAAGAGGAUGGUAAUGACCUGGAUCUGGAGCUUUCCAUGUGCUUUCGAUAUUUGAGGAAUGUUGGAUUUUAAAGGAGAAGAAGUGUUGUAAAGUUUGAUGUGCCUGGAGCAUGCAAUACCCCUAGAGGACGCAGUCCAACGCAUUCUUUUCCUGUCAAGAGAGGAAGCUCUGAAUCGGUGAUGUCUGGAUGUAAAAGGCAAAAUAUUGAAGAUACUCAGAUCUUAGCAGAAAAAGGCCAGCUCGUCCGUGCUUGAAGGCCAGGGGUCGGCAACCUUUAACACUGAAAGAGUCAUUUGGACCCGUUUCCCACAGAAAACACUGGGAGCCACAAAACCCAUUUGACAUUUAAAAUGAAAUAACACUGCAUACAAUGUUUUUUUUUGCCUUUAUGCUAUGUAUAAACAAACUAUAACGUGUUGCAUUUAUGAAAUCGAUGAACCCCUGCAGAGAAAAUGAAAUUACAUUUCUGCAUGCAACAAAAACAUUUUGAAAUCCGAAAAAAAGACGUUGGGUUGAAGGUUACUUUCAAGUAAAAUACUCAAUGUCUAUUUGAGUCCUUCAUGUAUUUAUGAAAAACGCCGAACUUAAAUUGUCCGCCAGCAGCAAACCAAAAAUAACGUCAGCCAGCUGUCAACCUGAAAAAUAAAAGGACUAUUUCACUGAACAAUGAAAAAAUAUGAAUAUAUGUAAAAUAAUAGGCAAUUAAAAUAUUUAUCAUACUUGGUUAAUGGGAUUUCUGCUCCUGGACCUCAGCGCACAGCGUCUGCACUUCAGGGCUGAAUGAUGUCACCCUCAUCUUUACACAGGAUCACAAGUUGUCAUCUGUGAGGCAUGCGCGGUGUUUGUUUUUAAUAAAGUUCAUGUUGGAGAACACCUGGUCACAUACAUAUGUGGAUCCAAAGAUUGACAGGACUCCAAGCGCAUACUUUUUAAUGUUUACAUAAAUGUCAGGGAUAGCAUUCCAUGUUUCGAACACAAGUUUGUCCGGUUUGGGGAUGUUUUCAAUAUCACUCCAUUUGUGAUUCUGAGCAAGAACAGCCUUCUGACGGGCAACAUCUUCAAGGUCUGCUGUCUAAACUUGGACAGCCAUAUGUCUUUGACGGCUAUGUCGGCCAGUUCCAUCUCAAGAUCAGGUUGACUCACACCUGCCAAUGCAGUCAUAUUCAGUAGGGAUGGACCGAUGCUUAGGGGAGUGACCGGAAAGGAUAAUGUGGUUUUUUUCCUCGUUGAACUCAACAGAAGCGUUUCCCAAACGAUGUUUGCUUUGCAAUGAUUGCAGAAUGUAAAUACCCCGAAUUUAUCAUGUUGUGAGCUUGUUUGAACUCACUCAAAUUGGGGAAGUGAGUCAAUGUGCCUUUCUGUAAAUCUCUGGCAAGCACUGUCAACUUGUGCUUGAAUGCCAAAACAUCCUCCAAAAUGUGCAGGGCUGUGCGUCCUUUCCCCUGAAGAGCUGUGUUCACCGUGUUCAG